GACGUAGGGAGCAAGCGUUGCUCGGAAUCACUGGGCAUAAAGCGCACGUAGGCGGUUCGGCAAGUCGGAUGUGAAAUCCCCUGGCUCAACCAGGGAACUGCACCCGAUACUACCGGACUUGAGGGCGGAAGGGGAGAGUGGAACUCGUGGUGGAGCGGUGAAAUGCGUAGAUAUCACGAGGAACGCCGGUGGCGAAAGCGACUCUCUGGUCCGUUCCUGACGCUGAGGUGCGAAAGCCAGGGUAGCGAACGGG
rnacentral:rRNA from 1 species